UACGUAGGGUGCAAGCGUUGUCCGGAAUUAUUGGGCGUAAAGAGCUCGUAGGCGGUUUGUCGCGUCUGCUGUGAAAACUCGGGGCUCAACUCCGAGCUUGCAGUGGGUACGGGCAGACUGGAGUGCGGUAGGGGAGACUGGAAUUCCUGGUGUAGCGGUGGAAUGCGCAGAUAUCAGGAGGAACACCGGUGGCGAAGGCGGGUCUCUGGGCCGUAACUGACGCUGAGGAGCGAAAGCAUGGGGAGCGAACAGG
rnacentral:rRNA from 1 species